AUUGGAGGCUUGCCUUUCAGAACACCGAGGUGCGAGACCAGACCCUAAGUCGGAUAAAAAGCAAUAUAGAACUGAUGGUUGCAACCAGUGGCAAGAAGGCAGUAAUUGUUCCACAUUCCAUGGGGGUUGUAUACUUUUUGCAUUUUAUGAAGUGGGUGGAGGCACCAGCUCCUGUGGGUGGUGGUGGUGGACCCGAUUGGUGCGCCAAGCACAUUAAAGCUGUGAUGAAUAUUGGUGGGCCAUUGCUAGGUGUUCCAAAAUCUAUAGCUGGCCUUUUCUCAGCUGAAGCACGGGAUAUUGCUGUUGCCAGGGCUCUGGCUCCAGGUGUUCUGGACACGGAUAUGUUCCAUCUUCAAACAUUAGAGCACAUAAUGAAGAUGUCACGAACCUGGGAUGCAACCAUGUCAAUGAUACCAAGAGGAGGGGACACGAUCUGGGGCGGUCUUGAAUGGUCACCCGAGGAAGGCUAUUCUCCUUGCAGAAGUAAGUCCAGAGACGAUGCUGCUCAGAAUUCAGGACAUCACGAGAAUCAAACUACAGAUUCUAAAGCAAAAUAUUACAGUUAUGGAAGGAUGAUGUCCUUUGGAAAGGAUGCAGCAGAAGCUCAUCCAUCAGAUCUUAAGAGGAUUGACUUCAGGGAUGCUGUUAAGGGCAGUAAUGUUGCAAAUAACACCUGUGAUGUGUGGAACGAGUACCAAGACAUGGGUGUUAGUGGCACUAAAGCAGUGGAAGAGUACAAGGUUUAUACAGCUGGAGAGAUUGUGGAUUUGCUCAACUUUGUUGCCCCGAAAAUGAUGGCCCGUGGUAAUGCUCACUUUUCAUAUGGGAUAGCUGAUGAUUUGGAUGAUCCUAAGUAUUCACACUACAAAUAUUGGUCAAAUCCAUUGGAGACAAAGUUACCAAAUGCUCCUGACAUGGAGAUCUAUUCACUGUAUGGAGUUGGCAUUGAAACUGAAAGAGCAUAUGUUUACAAGCUA
rnacentral:misc_RNA from 1 species